rnacentral:rRNA from 1 species
UACGAAGGGGGCUAGCGUUGUUCGGAAUUACUGGGCGUAAAGGGCUCGUAGGCGGCCAACUAAGUCAGACGUGAAAUCCCUCAGCUUAACUGGGGAACUGCGUCUGAUACUGGAUGGCUUGGAUCCGGGAGAGGGAUGCGGAAUUCCAGGUGCAGCGGUGAAAUGCGUAGAUAUCUGGAGGAACACCGGUGGCGAAGGCGGCAUCCUGGACCGGUAUUGACGCUGAGGAGCGAAAGCCAGGGGAGCAAACGGG